rnacentral:rRNA from 1 species
CAAUAGCGUAUAUUAAAGUUGUUGCGGUUAAAAAGCUCGUAGUUGGAUUUCUGCUGAGAACGACCGGUCCGCCCUUUGGGUGUGUAUCUGGCUCUUUCUUGGCAUCUUCUUGGUGAACGUUGCUGCACUUGACUGUGUGGAGCGCUACCCAGGACUUUUACUUUGAGGAAAUUAGAGUGUUUCAAGCAGGCAUACGCCUUGAAUACAUUAGCAUGGAAUAAUAAGAUAGGACCUCGGUUCUAUUUUGUUGGUUUCUAGAGCUGAGGUAAUGAUUAAUAGGGAUAGUUGGGGGCAUUCGUAUUUAACUGUCAGAGGUGAAAUUCUUGGAUUUGUUAAAGACGGACUACUGCGAAAUCAUUUGCCAAGGAUGUUUUCAUUGA